UUGAGAGUUUGAUCCUGGCUCAGAACGAACGCUGGCGGCAGGCCUAACACAUGCAAGUCGAGCGCUACCUUCGGGUGGAGCGGCGGACGGGUUAGUAACGCGUGGGAACGUACCCAGAUCUAAGGAAUAGCCACUGGAAACGGUGAGUAAUACCUUAUACGCCCUUCGGGGGAAAGAUUUAUCGGAUUUGGAUCGGCCCGCGUUAGAUUAGAUAGUUGGUGGGGUAACGGCCUACCAAGUCUACGAUCUAUAGCUGGUUUUAGAGGAUGAUCAGCAACACUGGGACUGAGACACGGCCCAGACUCCUACGGGAGGCAGCAGUGGGGAAUCUUAGACAAUGGGCGCAAGCCUGAUCUAGCCAUGCCGCGUGAGUGAUGAAGGUCUUAGGAUCGUAAAGCUCUUUCGCCAGAGAUGAUAAUGACAGUAUCUGGUAAAGAAACCCCGGCUAACUCCGUGCCAGCAGCCGCGGUAAUACGGAGGGGGUUAGCGUUGUUCGGAAUUACUGGGCGUAAAGCGCACGUAGGCGGAUUGGAAAGUUGGGGGUGAAAUCCCGGGGCUCAACCCCGGAACUGCCUCCAAAACUAUCAGUCUAGAGUUCGAGAGAGGUGAGUGGAAUUCCAAGUGUAGAGGUGAAAUUCGUAGAUAUUUGGAGGAACACCAGUGGCGAAGGCGGCUCACUGGCUCGAUACUGACGCUGAGGUGCGAAAGUGUGGGGAGCAAACAGGA
rnacentral:rRNA from 1 species